AAAGGAGGACAGGAGAGAAGGAGGGAGGCUGCUUGUCAUGGGAUUCACCCUUGCCUCUGACAGCCAGUAACUAUUCUUGUAAGGCCGAAACCGGUCCAACACACAUCUGAGAUCCUGUGAGAGGCCUGGCCCUUUUGAAAGUGGAGAAAAGGACAAGUGGCGAAGGGAACAGGCCAGCUGUGCACAGCUGGCGAAGAGGGAUGGUGGCCAUGUAUGGCCAGUGAAGUCAAGUCAGAUGACGAGACUGAGGGUCAGAGAAGUAAAGUGGCCUGGUGAGGAGCCCGGGAGCUGAUGUCUGCCCUGUUCAGGUCCAUGUGACCCAUGGUGCUGCUCCGGUCUGAAGUCAGGGCCUGUGAGAUGCGGAUGAGACGAAGAUGGAAGUCUUUCUGUCCUGGGGCGUCGCCACCUUCGGCUUCGCCCUCUGUGAUGGAGCUGUAAGAGCUGCUGCCUAGAAACCUGUUCUCAAACAUCUACCCGUGCAUGUAUCCCUAUUUUCAGUUUUCCUUGACCUUUAUAGAAAAAUUCUUGCGUGAAUUGUGUUCCUGUGGGCCAGAGUUUUGGGUUUCUUGUUGGUUUGUUUUCAGGUAAUAUCAGUUGAGGAACUGCC